rnacentral:rRNA from 3 species
GACGUGCUAAUCUGCGAUAAGCGUCGGUAAGGUGAUAUGAACCGUUAUAACCGGCGAUUUCCGAAUGGGGAAACCCAGUGUGAUUCGUCACACUAUCAUUAACUGAAUCCAUAGGUUAAUGAGGCGAACCGGGGGAACUGAAACAUCUAAGUACCCCGAGGAAAAGAAAUCAACCGAGAUUCCCCCAGUAGCGGCGAGCGAACGGGGAGCAGCCCAGAGCCUGAAUCAGUGUGUGUGUUAGUGGAAGCGUCUGGAAAGGCGUGCGAUACAGGGUGACAGCCCCGUACACAAAAAUGCACAUACUGUGAGCUCGAUGAGUAGGGCGGGACACGUGGUAUCCUGUCUGAAUAUGGGGGGACCAUCCUCCAAGGCUAAAUACUCCUGACUGACCGAUAGUGAACCAGUACCGUGAGGGAAAGGCGAAAAGAACCCCGGCGAGGGGAGUGAAAAAGAACCUGAAACCGUGUACGUACAAGCAGUGGGAGCACGCUUAGGCGUGUGACUGCGUACCUUUUGUAUAAUGGGUCAGCGACUUAUAUUCUGUAGCAAGGUUAACCGAAUAGGGGAGCCGAAGGGAAACCGAGUCUUAACUGGGCGUUAAGUUGCAGGGUAUAGACCCGAAACCCGGUGAUCUAGCCAUGGGCAGGUUGAAGGUUGGGUAACACUAACUGGAGGACCGAACCGACUAAUGUUGAAAAAUUAGCGGAUGACUUGUGGCUGGGGGUGAAAGGCCAAUCAAACCGGGAGAUAGCUGGUUCUCCCCGAAAGCUAUUUAGGUAGCGCCUCGUGAAUUCAUCUCCGGGGGUAGAGCACUGUUUCGGCAAGGGGGUCAUCCCGACUUACCAACCCGAUGCAAACUGCGAAUACCGGAGAAUGUUAUUACGGGAGACACACGGCGGGUGCUAACGUCCGUCGUGAAGAGGGAAACAACCCAGACCGCCAGCUAAGGUCCCAAAGUCAUGGUUAAGUGGGAAACGAUGUGGGAAGGCCCAGACAGCCAGGAUGUUGGCUUAGAAGCAGCCAUCAUUUAAAGAAAGCGUAAUAGCUCACUGGUCGAGUCGGCCUGCGCGGAAGAUGUAACGGGGCUAAACCAUGCACCGAAGCUGCGGCAGCGACGCUUAUGCGUUGUUGGGUAGGGGAGCGUUCUGUAAGCCUGUGAAGGUGUGCUGUGAGGUAUGCUGGAGGUAUCAGAAGUGCGAAUGCUGACAUAAGUAACGAUAAAGCGGGUGAAAAGCCCGCUCGCCGGAAGACCAAGGGUUCCUGUCCAACGUUAAUCGGGGCAGGGUGAGUCGACCCCUAAGGCGAGGCCGAAAGGCGUAGUCGAUGGGAAACAGGUUAAUAUUCCUGUACUUGGUGUUACUGCGAAGGGGGGACGGAGAAGGCUAUGUUGGCCGGGCGACGGUUGUCCCGGUUUAAGCGUGUAGGCUGGUUUUCCAGGCAAAUCCGGAAAAUCAAGGCCGAGGCGUGAUGACGAGGCACUACGGUGCUGAAGCAACAAAUGCCCUGCUUCCAGGAAAAGCCUCUAAGCAUCAGGUAACAUCAAAUCGUACCCCAAACCGACACAGGUGGUCAGGUAGAGAAUACCAAGGCGCUUGAGAGAACUCGGGUGAAGGAACUAGGCAAAAUGGUGCCGUAACUUCGGGAGAAGGCACGCUGAUACGUAGGUGAAGCGACUUGCUCGUGGAGCUGAAAUCAGUCGAAGAUACCAGCUGGCUGCAACUGUUUAUUAAAAACACAGCACUGUGCAAACACGAAAGUGGACGUAUACGGUGUGACGCCUGCCCGGUGCCGGAAGGUUAAUUGAUGGGGUUAGCGCAAGCGAAGCUCUUGAUCGAAGCCCCGGUAAACGGCGGCCGUAACUAUAACGGUCCUAAGGUAGCGAAAUUCCUUGUCGGGUAAGUUCCGACCUGCACGAAUGGCGUAAUGAUGGCCAGGCUGUCUCCACCCGAGACUCAGUGAAAUUGAACUCGCUGUGAAGAUGCAGUGUACCCGCGGCAAGACGGAAAGACCCCGUGAACCUUUACUAUAGCUUGACACUGAACAUUGAGCCUUGAUGUGUAGGAUAGGUGGGAGGCUUUGAAGUGUGGACGCCAGUCUGCAUGGAGCCGACCUUGAAAUACCACCCUUUAAUGUUUGAUGUUCUAACGUGGACCCGUGAUCCGGGUUGCGGACAGUGUCUGGUGGGUAGUUUGACUGGGGCGGUCUCCUCCUAAAGAGUAACGGAGGAGCACGAAGGUUGGCUAAUCCUGGUCGGACAUCAGGAGGUUAGUGCAAUGGCAUAAGCCAGCUUGACUGCGAGCGUGACGGCGCGAGCAGGUGCGAAAGCAGGUCAUAGUGAUCCGGUGGUUCUGAAUGGAAGGGCCAUCGCUCAACGGAUAAAAGGUACUCCGGGGAUAACAGGCUGAUACCGCCCAAGAGUUCAUAUCGACGGCGGUGUUUGGCACCUCGAUGUCGGCUCAUCACAUCCUGGGGCUGAAGUAGGUCCCAAGGGUAUGGCUGUUCGCCAUUUAAAGUGGUACGCGAGCUGGGUUUAGAACGUCGUGAGACAGUUCGGUCCCUAUCUGCCGUGGGCGCUGGAGAACUGAGGGGGGCUGCUC